rnacentral:lncRNA from 1 species
AUGCUUAACUAUUUUCCUUUAGACUUUUGUCAUCAAUUUUUCAUUUUGGACAAUCUGUCUAAUCAUUACACCCAACUCAUUUAUUUCCAGGGGCUGCCAGGACCAAAAGGAGAUAAGGGUGAUCAAGGAGAUACUGGGCCAAGGGGUCAUGGCAAUUAUGCAGGGCUGCAUAGUAAUCAGAUUCUCAUUAAGGUUUGUCUCUUCUCUGCUGCCAUAGCCUUCAUCUCCAAGCCGCUCCAUAUCCGGGACGGCCGUCUCCCUUCAUGGCCCCUCAGUUCCCUCACUAUCCCUCAGUCUGAGGUUUUCAGUGCUCUUAUUGUUUCUCCUUUGUCUUUUCCUCCAUCUGUUUUUCCUGUCUCCUUGUAUUGGGGACUCACAUGCACAGAUGGUCUUUCCUCGUUACGAUCACAGCUACAUCUCGGCCGAUCAGCCCAGUUUCCAGAGGCGUAUGCUGAAGGUAGCAUGUGUGCAAGGCAUGUGCAGACACUCCCCUUACUAGAUCUUCAUCUUCCUCAUUUUUAACCCAUGUCGUCUUGCGUGAUUGCUUGUGUUAUUGUUUGUGUGUCUAAAUAUUUACAAUCAAAUAACCUCAUGUGUGAAGGAUCAGAGUGUUGCAUGCAAGUUUGCUGCUUCAGUGAAUGAGGCUGAUGCAGGGUGGAUCUCACGAAAAAAUAUCUCGGUCAUAUUGUACCACAUAAUCAAAAAAAAACAACAACAACAACAAAACAAUAGUCUUUAUAUUUUGGAUAAGGAAAUGUAAUGCAAAAUAAUGUCACUAUGCGAAAGAUUAGUGCUGGGCCUUGAUUAAUCAUGAUUAUUCGCAUCCAAAAUAAUAAUUUUUGUGUAUAUAAUAUAUGUGUGUGUACUGUGUAUAUUUAUUAUGUAUAUAUAAAUACACACACAUGCAUGCAUAUAUUUAAGAAAAAUUUUUUGUUUAUAUAAUAAAUAUAUUUAUAUAUAAUAUAAAUUAUAUGAAUAUAAAUAUAUACAUGUAAAUACAUGUUAAUAUUUUCUAAAUAUAUACUACGUGUGUGUCUUUAUACAUGCAUAAUAAAUAUUCUCAGU